rnacentral:rRNA from 1 species
GAUGAACGCUGGCGGCGUGCCUAACACAUGCAAGUCGAACGAGAUGCGUAUUGGAAAGCUUCGGCCGGAAGAUGCGUUAUCUAGUGGCGGACGGGCGAGUAACACGUGGGUAACCUGCCUUAUGGAGGGGGAUAACAGAGAGAAAUCACUGCUAAUACCGCAUAAGCACACAUUGCCGCAUGGCAGAGUGUGAAAAGAUUUAUCGCCAUAAGAUGGACCCGCGUCUGAUUAGCCAGUUGGCAGGGUAAAAGCCUACCAAAGCAACGAUCAGUAGCCGAUCUGAGAGGAUGACCGGCCACAUUGGGACUGAGACACGGCCCAAACUCCUACGGGAGGCAGCAGUGGGGAAUAUUGCACAAUGGGGGAAACCCUGAUGCAGCGACGCCGCGUGAGUGAAGAAGUAUUUCGGUAUGUAAAGCUCUAUCAGCAGGGAAGAUAAUGACAGUACCUGACUAAGAAGCCCCGGCUAACUACGUG